CAGUAGCCGCGGGAAUACGUAGGGUGCGAGCGUUAAUCGGAAUUACUGGGCGUAAAGCGUGCGCAGGCGGUGAUGUAAGACAGUUGUGAAAUCCCCGGGCUCAACCUGGGAACUGCAUCUGUGACUGCAUCGCUGGAGUGCGGCAGAGGGGUAUGGAAUUCCGCGUGUAGCAGUGAAAUGCGUAGAUAUGCGGAGGAACACCGAUGGCGAAGGCGGCCAUCUGGGACAACACUGACGCUGAGGCACGAAAGCGUGGGGAGCAAACAGGAUUAGAUACCCGCGUAGUCCCUGUCUCUUAUAC
rnacentral:rRNA from 1 species